rnacentral:sRNA from 1 species
ACCUGGAUGGCAUCAUCGCUGAGGUCAAGGCGCAGUAUGAGGAGAUGGCCAAAUGCAGCCGGGCUGAGGCUGAAGCCUGGUACCAGACCAAGUUUGAGACCCUCCAGGCCCAGGCUGGGAAGCAUGGGGACGACCUCCGGAAUACCCGGAAUGAGAUUUCAGAGAUGAACCGGGCCAUCCAGAGGCUGCAGGCUGAGAUCGACAACAUCAAGAACCAGGUGGGACAAGCCCUCCUGGCUUCCCCUGCUACUUGGGGCAUGCAGGGGUGGCCCGCUGAGGCCAAACUCAGGAUGUGGAGCGGGAGGUUCCCAUCUCCCGGCCAAAGCUGGUGCCACUGUCUGAGACCCCCUUGUGAGAUCUCCAGGACAGAAUGUUCUUGGCCGGGUCCUGGCAUGGGCUGAUGGGAGAAAGGUCCUGGAUGUGCACAGAGCCUAUGGAGGGAGACUCAGGCUGGCUGGCCAGAAGAAAGCCACCACUGGUUCCACAUUGAUA